AACGAACGCUGGCGGCAGGCUUAACACAUGCAAGUCGAGCGAGACCUUCGGGUUUAGCGGCGGACGGGUGAGUAACGCGUGGGAACGUGCCCUUUACUACGGAAUAGCCCAGGGAAACUUGGAUUAAUACCGUAUACGCCCUUCGGGGGAAAGAAUUUCGGUGAAGGAUCGGCCCGCGUUGGAUUAGGUAGUUGGUGGGGUAAUGGCCUACCAAGCCGACGAUCCAUAGCUGGUUUGAGAGGAUGAUCAGCCACACUGGGACUGAGACACGGCCCAGACUCCUACGGGAGGCAGCAGUGGGGAAUCUUAGACAAUGGGGGCAACCCUGAUCUAGCCAUGCCGCGUGAGUGAUGAAGGCCUUAGGGUUGUAAAGCUCUUUCAGCUGGGAAGAAGGUAGAUACGGUGAAUAAUCGUGUUUGCUGACGGUACCUCGAGAAUAAGCACCGGCUAAUUUCGUGCCAGCAGCCGCAGUAACAC
rnacentral:rRNA from 1 species